rnacentral:rRNA from 1 species
GUGAGUAACACGUGGGCAAUCUGCCCUUCACUCUGGGACAAGCCCUGGAAACGGGGUCUAAUACCGGAUAACACCGGCCUCCGCAUGGGGGCUGGUUGAAAGCUCCGGCGGUGAAGGAUGAGCCCGCGGCCUAUCAGCUUGUUGGUGGGGUAAUGGCCUACCAAGGCGACGACGGGUAGCCGGCCUGAGAGGGCGACCGGCCACACUGGGACUGAGACACGGCCCAGACUCCUACGGGAGGCAGCAGUGGGGAAUAUUGCACAAUGGGCGAAAGCCUGAUGCAGCGACGCCGCGUGAGGGAUGACGGCCUUCGGGUUGUAAACCUCUUUCAGCAGGGAAGAAGCGAAAGUGACGGUACCUGCAGAAGAAGCGCCGGCUAACUACGUGCCAGCAGCCGCGGUAAUACGUAGGGCGCAAGCGUUGUCCGGAAUUAUUGGGCGUAAAGAGCUCGUAGGCGGCUUGUCACGUCGGGUGUGAAAGCCCGGGGCUUAACCCCGGGUCUGCAUCCGAUACGGGCAGGCUAGAGUGUGGUAGGGGAGAUCGGAAUUCCUGGUGUAGCGGUGAAAUGCGCAGAUAUCAGGAGGAACACCGGUGGCGAAGGCGGAUCUCUGGGCCAUUACUGACGCUGAGGAGCGAAAGCGUGGGGAGCGAACAGGAUUAGAUAC